UACGUAGGUGGCAAGCGUUGUCCGGAUUUACUGGGUGUAAAGGGCGUGUAGCCGGGCUGACAAGUCAGAUGUGAAAUCCGGGGGCUCAACCCCCGAACUGCAUUUGAAACUGUUGGUCUUGAGUAUCGGAGAGGCAGGCGGAAUUCCUAGUGUAGCGGUGAAAUGCGUAGAUAUUAGGAGGAACACCAGUGGCGAAGGCGGCCUGCUGGACGACAACUGACGCUGAGGCACGAAAGUGCGGGGAUCGAACAGG
rnacentral:rRNA from 1 species